rnacentral:misc_RNA from 1 species
CAACCACUGAGAAAACUGAAACCUGUAGGCAAUUUCUAAUUAAUGCCACAGCAAGGCAAAAUCCAAUGCAAGUCCAGAACCAGGUAAAAGAAAGGAAAAAUUACUAAAACCACAUUGAAAUUUGCCAAUAUUCACACUUGCAUCUUUGUUUUUUCAAAAUCAAAUGAAAUGAUCCUCAACUUUUGAAUUUCAUACAUUUUAGUCUUCCAGUUAAAAUAGCAUAUACUUAAGUCCCUGAGAUAGUGUUUUGAAUAACAUUUUAGUCUUUGAGUUUUCAAAUAAAGCUAAUUUUUCAUCCCUUAAAAAAAAUAAAAAAUGAGGGACAAG